rnacentral:rRNA from 1 species
UCGAGGAUCUUCGGCAAUGUGCGCAAGCACGACCGAGCGACGCCGCGUGGGCGACGAAGGCCUUCGGGUUGUAAAGCCCUGUCGAGGGGGAGAAAAGGGCAACCUUGAUCCAUCCCUGGAGGAAGCACGGGCUAAGUUCGUGCCAGCAGCCGCGGUAAGACGAACCGUGCGAACGUUGUUCGGAAUCACUGGGCGUAAAGGGCGCGUAGGCGGGCCGCCGCGUCCGGGGUGAAAUCCCCCCGCUCAACGGGGGAACGGCCUCGGGUACGGGCGACCUGGAGGGGGGUAGGGGCGUGCGGAACUGUGGGUGGAGCGGUGAAAUGCGUUGAGAUCCACAGGAACUCCGGUGGCGAAGGCGGCACGCUGGACCCCGACUGACGCUGAGGCGCGAAAGCCAGGGGAGCGAACGGGAUUAGAUACCCCCGUAGUCC